rnacentral:misc_RNA from 1 species
UAAUGAGUGUUUUACUGCACUUUUUAAAAAAUAGUAUUUACCUUGUGUGCAAUGUUGUGUGGUAUUUCUCACCUCGCGUGAGUAUUUCACACCUACACCAACCUAUAACCUUGAACCACUUUGUCUGAAAAACUAUUAUGAAUACUUAAUUCAAAAUA